ACAGCGCCAAAACACAAAAAUUUUACCCCUCUUUUCUCUCUUCCUAGGUUCAAAUGGCUCGCCCUAGGUUUCCACCUUCCUAACUUUCUCUCUUCCUUCUCCACUCUUUCCUAAUUCUAAUUCCUCCAUUCUCACUCCCUUCGCCAUGUCCAACAGGAUUUCAAACCCUAGAGGAGCUAUAUAUUAAGACAUGGUUGCACAGGUUUGCAGAAAAGGUAUCAUGUGCAUUCAUGUUGAUAAGUAACAUAGGAGGGAGCCAAUAUUCAACAAAAAUAUAUUGCUGAGAAGGUUUCUGAUUUACUCAAGGUAUUUGUAGCCUUUUUAUAUUAUACA